GACGUAGGUGGCGAACGUUAUCCGGAAUCAUUGGGCGUAAAGGGUGCGUAGAUGGCAUGAUAAGUUAUUAGUGGGAAAUCGAGGCUCAACCUCGUGGAAGCUAGUAAUACUGUUUUGCUUGAGUACAGAAGAGGUUAACGGAACUCCAUGUGGAGCGGUAAAAUGCGUAGAUAUAUGGAAGAACACCAAUAACGGCGAAGGCAGUUAACUAUUCCGUUACUGACAUUGAGGCACGAAAGCGUGGGGAGCAAAACGG
rnacentral:rRNA from 1 species